rnacentral:rRNA from 1 species
UACGUAGGGUGCAAGCGUUGUCCGGAAUUAUUGGGCGUAAAGAGCUCGUAGGCGGUCUGUCGCGUCGGAUGUGAAAAUCCAGGGCUUAACCCUGGACCUGCAUUCGAUACGGGCAGACUAGAGUUCGGUAGGGGAGACUGGAAUUCCUGGUGUAGCGGUGAAAUGCGCAGAUAUCAGGAGGAACACCGGUGGCGAAGGCGGGUCUCUGGGCCGAUACUGACGCUGAGGAGCGAAAGUGUGGGGAGCGAACAGG